UCAUCGUCAUCGCCAUUGUUGUCGUUGUCGUUAUCAUCAAAAGCAAUUACCCAAGAAAUACAUAUCUAUUGGAGAAGAAAGAGCUUAAGCACAAUCUCAACCCAGAGGCCGAUCUACUGAAUCAAUCUUUCCAAGAAAUUUAAGACAAGACAGAGGCCGAUCUACUGAAUCAAUCUUUCCAAGAAAUUUAAGACAGAGGCCAAUCUAUUCAAUUAAUCUUUCCAAGAAAUUUAAGACAAGACAGAGGCCGAUCAACUGAAUCAAUCGUUCCAAGAAAUUUAAGACAAGACAGAGGCCGAUCUACUGAAUCAAUCUUUCCAAGAAAUUUAAGACAAGACAGACCGAUCUAUUCAAUUAAUCUUUCCAAGAAAUUUCAGACAGAGGCCGAUCUAUUCAAUUAAUCUUUCCAAGAAAUUUAAGACAAGACAGAGGCCGAUCUAUACAAUUAAUCUUUCCAAGAAAUUUUAGACAGAGGCCAAUCUAUUCAAUUAAUCUUUCCAAGAAAUUUAAGACAAGACAGAUGCUAUUAACGUAACAAAGUAAUUAUUAACAUAUUUAUUAAAUCUUUUAUAAACCACCACUUUCACGAAAACUAGACAGAGUUACCUAAGAAACCAAUACCUAUUACAAAUCAAUAAAGUGUAUAUUUAAUUCUACAUGUUUUCAAGAUAUACCAAAAUCAGCUGCAAUUUACUCUAUCUUAUUUAGAAAAAUGAUCCCAUCUGCCCAGUUAAUGUUAGGUUCCCUAUUUGAGAUUAUCUCACAAUAACAUAUUCCUCGGCUUAGGUAUGUCUUCACAACUCUCUGAAAACUGUCUAUAGAUAGAUUGUUCUGCUCCUUUUUAAUUUAACUAAAUCAACAAAAUAUUCCUAUCCACACCCUUUCAACGUGGGUUACAUAGAUAAUGAUAGACAUGAACAUCGGGACGUGCUGAAUUAAAAUAUUUUAUUAGGGCUAAAUAAUGUAUUUUCGUGAAGUUCUGGGCGAAGUUUGUUGUUUUUAUCCUGUAUGGGUGUAUGUGUGUGUUUCAGUGUGUACUUGGAUAAAAGCAAAUAGUUGAGUACUAGCACAUUGUAUAAUUUCAGCAUAGAUGAUGAACACACAGAUACAUUUCAGAUACAUUUGGUGUUUGUUGAAUUCAAUACAGUUAUUCUAUUUGUGGUAAUGUUUUGCAUAUUUUGAAGUCUUUUUUGUAACACAAUUUGUUUUUGAUAAUUUCUUUGUAAAUUUAUGAAAUGAAACAAAAUGUACAAGUGUAAUUCAUAAAACGUAAUGCAUAUUUCGCUUAUCAUCAUAUUUUCAAUAAAACCUGUUUGUAUUUU